rnacentral:piRNA from 1 species
UCUUGGCUCUGUUGGUAUGAGAAGUCUGA